ensembl:snRNA U6 U6 spliceosomal RNA
GUGCUCGUUUCGGCAGCACAUAUACUAAAAUUGGAACAAUACAGAGAAAAUUAGCAUGGCCUCCGCACGUGGAUGACAUGCAAAUUUGUGAAGCGUUCCAUAUUUUU